rnacentral:rRNA from 1 species
GACGAACGCUGGCGGCGUGCUUAACACAUGCAAGUCGAACGGAAAGGCCCUGCUUUUGUGGGGUGCUCGAGUGGCGAACGGGUGAGUAACAUGUGAGUAACCUGCCCUUGACUUUGGGAUAACUUCAGGAAACUGGUGCUAAUACCGGAUAGGAGCUCCUGCUGCAUGGUGGGGGUUGGAAAGUUUCGGCGGUUGGGGAUGGACUCGCGGCUUAUCAGCUUGUUGGUGGGGUAGUGGCUUACCAAGGCUUUGACGGGUAGCCGGCCUGAGAGGGUGACCGGCCACAUUAGGACUGAGAUACGGCACAGACUCGAACGGUAGGCAACAGUGGAGAAGAUUGUACAAUGGGCGGGAGCCUGAUGCAGCCACGCCGCGUGCGGGAUGACGGCCAUGGGGUUGGAAACCGCAGUCGCCUGAGACGGAGCGUGAGUGACGGUAAUAGCAGAAGAAGCACCGGCUAACUACGUG